rfam:Bacilli bacterium VT-13-104 contig029, whole genome shotgun sequence.
CUCAAAGGUUAUGUUGAGUCGUAAAAUAAGGAGGUAAUUCCUCGAAACGCUCCUCUAAUACUCCAAUUGGUGUAUUGAUGUAUAGUAGCUGUAAAUGCAGUAGAUAUAGCAACACAAAAUCUGUUCAGAGAUGAACGGUAGCAAGCUAUUCAGUAGAGGGUUAUAUA